rnacentral:rRNA from 1 species
UGGGCAACCUGCCCUUCUCAUCGGAAUAAGCGUUGGAAACGACGUCUAAUGCCGAAUACGACCUCCUUUCACAUGAUCGGAGGUGGAAAGCUCCGGCGGAGAAGGAUGAGCUCGCGGCCUAUCA